UACGUAGGGGGCAAGCGUUGCUCGGAAUCACUGGGCGUAAAGCGCACGUAGGCGGCUUCUUAAGUCAGGGGUGAAAUCCUGGAGCUCAACUCCAGAACUGCCUUUGAUACUGGCGAGCUUGAGUUCGGGAGAGGUGAGUGGAACUGCGAGUGUAGAGGUGAAAUUCGUAGAUAUUCGCAAGAACACCAGUGGCGAAGGCGGCUCACUGGCCCGAUACUGACGCUGAGGUGCGAAAGCGUGGGGAGCAAACAGG
rnacentral:rRNA from 1 species